UACAGAGGGGGCAAGCGUUGUUCGGAAUUACUGGGCGUAAAGGGCGCGUAGGCGGCCUGUUAAGUCGAACGUGAAAUCCCCGGGCUCAACCCGGAACUGCGUCCGAUACUGGCAGGCUUGAAUUCGGGAGAGGGAUGCGGAAUUCCAGGUGUAGCGGUGAAAUGCGUAGAUAUCUGGAGGAACACCGGUGGCGAAGGCGGCAUCCUGGACCAACACUGACACUGAGGAGCGAAAGCCAGGGGAGCAAACGGG
rnacentral:rRNA from 1 species